AUGAUCCGGGAAUUGGAUGCUCUGUACAGGGAAACCGCAAAGUCUGAACGAUAUGAUACCAUGAAGGCUUUGAUGGAUUGCAAGAUGGCUGAGGGUAGUUCAGUUGGCGAACACGUGGUCAAAAUGAUUGGCUAUGCUGAAAGGCUUAAAACCCUGGAAUUUCCACUUCCACCUGGCCAUAUGAUGGACAUGUUGCUUUCUUCACUCCCCCCGUCUUACGACGGUUUUGUCAUGAACUACAACAUGACAGGGAUGGAGAAGACACCGGAAGAGGUGCUCGCCAUGCUGAAAACUACAGAAGGAGGACUGCGGAAAAAUCGCAAGCAAGUGUUGCUUGUGAAUAAAACCGCCAGUUUCAAAAAGAAGAAAGGCAAGCCAAAGAAGGGCAAGGGCACCGGUAAGACCGGCUCCCAAAGCAACUCUAAGGGCGGAGCCAAGAAUGAAAUUGAGUGCUUCUACUGCAAGGGCACAGGACACUGGAAGAGAAACUGCAAGAAGUAUCUGGAAGAUAAGAAGACCGGGAAAACCGGAAAAGGUAUAAUUGUUAUACAAGUUAAUGUCAUUGACGUUUUGCUUGCUAGCGAAAAUUCUAAGUCUUGGGUAUUUGAUACCGGAUCGGUUGCUCACAUUUGCAACUCGAUACAGGGGCUUCAGAAGGUGCGCAACCUUGCAAAGAAUGAAGUCGUGAUGCGCGUCGGAAACGGCGCUGGGAUCGCCGCUCAAGCCGUCGGCAUUAUGCCUCUACGUCUCCCUUCAGGAUUUAUCUUAAAACUAAGUAACUGUUAUUUUGUUCCACUGUUAUGUAGAAACAUUAUCUCCGGAUCAUGUUUGGUACACGAUGAGUAUUCGUACAAGUCUGAGAACAAUGGUUGUUCACUUUAUUGUAAGGAUAUGUUUUAUGGAUUUGCACCCAUUGUUGGGGGCCUUUUCAUACUAAAUCUUGAAUGUGGAAAUGAUGUCUUUAACGUGAAUCGUCAACUCGGGCGUUUCGUGCUUCGUCAACUCGGGCUUCACCCGCUGCUUCAUCCCGACGAGCUACGGCCGCUGCUUGGCCCUGGAGCGCGUCCUGCAAUCCGUCCGUGUCGCCUGCCCACACGGCUGCGCCGCCGCCAAGAUGCUCUACCACGAGAAGGCGGACCACCAAAAGACGUGUGUCGGAUCAUCAGCCGCCGUGGAGCAGCCGGCCGUGCUCCUCCAGCAAGCCCCCUCGGGUGA
rnacentral:rRNA from 1 species